UCAGGUUCUUGGUCAUUUCAGGCACAUGGAGAACUUCUGCCAAAGUCAGAUUCUUUCCCGAAGUGAAUUUCAGUUCAACUGAUCCAAUUCCAACAACUUUGCUCCGGUAUCCAGCCACCAUCCUACUUCAAAUCCGACUGAGUUGGCUUCUUCCACCACAGCAACAAGGU